UAAUAUUCGGACUCUCUUUACCGAACUCAGUUUGGGCCGACCACCAAGCCCGAAGAAAUUACAUCAAGGGGAGAGCUCUGACCAAUCACACCAAGCCCAAAGAGAUGACUUCCAAGAGAGGAGAGGCUCUAUGACCGAUCCCUACUAUCCACGCAUGAGGUUGGACUUCCCUAGAUGGGAAGAAGGAGACCCAAUUGGUUGGAUCUUGCGCACG
rnacentral:lncRNA from 1 species